rnacentral:rRNA from 1 species
UACGUAGGGACCAAGCGUUGUUCGGAUUUACUGGGCGUAAAGGGCGCGUAGGCGGCGCGGUAAGUCACUUGUGAAAUCUCUGAGCUUAACUCAGAACGGCCAAGUGAUACUGCAGUGCUAGAGUGUGGAAGGGGCAAUCGGAAUUCCUGGUGUAGCGGUGAAAUGCGCAGAUAUCAGGAGGAACACCGAUGGCGAAGGCAGGUCUCUGGGCCAUAACUGACGCUGAGAAGCGAAAGCAUGGGGAGCGAACAGG